GGUGUUUGAAGAACAUGAUCAGAACUGCAAAAAAUAAAUUGUCAUUUUCUAAUGCAGUCAUUCAAUUAAAUAAACAAAACAAUUUACAAUUGAAAUGAAAUGAAAAUAAUAUUCAUAAAGAGGUGACCCACUAUGUUAAAAGGUCCAUUGGGCCUCAGCUUAGGAGGACAGGUGACCCAUUCCAUUAAACCACCACCACUAUCACCUCACCUCCAUAUUGGAAUAUCCAAGUUCAACCAUUGGAGUUCCUCUUCAUAACAAAAUGUUAUUGAUCCUCAUGUCUCAAACAUGGUUAUAUACACGGAGAUAUCAAUUGAUGGUUUCAAAUUUUUACCCAUUUUUCAACUCCAUGAUAUUAGAAAAAAGGUGUAAAAGAAAAUUGCUUUAUCCUACUCAACUAUGAACUAGGUUGUGGGUUUCCAACAUGCAAAAUGCAUGCCCAUUAGCAUAUGCUACGAGACAAUGUGGACGAAUCUUGCCACAGAAGAAAUUGAAAAUAAGGUAGUGAUCAAUCUUACGAAGGAUUCAAUUGUGCUGUGGUACAUCCA
rnacentral:misc_RNA from 1 species